rnacentral:rRNA from 1 species
CAGGUCACUCCUACGGGAGGCAGCAGUCGGGAAUUUUGGGCAAUGGGCGAAAGCCUGACCCAGCAACGCCGCGUGAAGGAUGAAAUCCCUCGGGAUGUAAACUUCGCAAGAAUGGGAAGAAUGAACGAGUACUAAUACUGCUCGUGAUGACGGUACCGUAAGAAGAAGCACCGGCUAACUCUGUGCCAGCAGCCGCGGUAAUACAGAGGGUGCAAGCGUUGUCCGGAAUUACUGGGCGUAAAGGGCGCGUAGGCGGCCUGAUAAGUAGGGGGUGAAAUUUCGUGGCUCAACCCCGGAACGGCACGCGGGACUGUCUGGCUAGAGACUGGUAGAGGCAAGUGGAAUUCCUGGUGUAGCGGUGAAAUGCGUAGAUAUCGGGAGGAACACCUGAGGCGAAGGCGGGUUACUGGGCUGAUACUGACGCUGAUGCGCGAAAGCUAGGGGAGCAAACAGGAUUAGAUACCCUGGUAGUCCUAGCCCUAAACGAUGGAUGCUUGGUGUAGCAGGUACCCAAUCCUGCUGUGCCGCAGCUAACGCGUUAAGCAUCCCGCCUGGGGAGUACGGUCGCAAGGCUGAAACUUAAAGGAAUUGACGGGACUCUA